rnacentral:lncRNA from 1 species
GUUCCGGUGACUGCAGGGGUUUUCCCGGUGCUCGGUGUUUCCUCCCCGUCGGCCUUUAAACGCGAAUGUGACCCUACCACCAAAGUGGAGUGCAGUCCAGAAUCACCAAACCUGGGCUUCCAGGUGUCUGGAAACACAAUGUUAACAUUUGUUUUGCUCCAAAACAAAGUAUGACCGUGUCGGACGUUUUAGUCCAGCCCCAAAUUUUGCCUCUGAGCAAGAUUCCCAGGACCUCAUUGGAGCAGUUUACAGCCAGUCUUAUCUCACUAUUAACUUCCAUUUUCUGCUGUAGUACUUAAAGUGACAGAAGUUACUCUUCCUAGAAGUAACUUUUCCAGACGAUUCAAACUGCUGUUAUACAGAGAUUUAAGUAUUUGUGUGCAUGUGUGAAAACAGAGAUAUGUAAUGUAUAUAUUUCAUUUUAUUUCCACUGUUCUGCUUCUCUUUUUAAAAAUAAAGCGGUCUCCUCCACUUUGGGUAAAUCUUUCAGCACAUUUGAUCAAA